rnacentral:rRNA from 1 species
GUAGUCUGCAACUCGACUACAUGAAGCUGGAAUCGCUAGUAAUCGCGGAUCAGCAUGCCGCGGUGAAUACGUUCCCGGGCCUUGUACACACCGCCCGUCACACCAUGGGAGUCGGUAACACCCGAAGCCAGUAGCCUAACCGCAAGGAGGGCGCUGUCGAAGGUGGGAUUGAUGACUGGGGUGAAGUCGUAACAAGGUAGC